GGGCUGAUGAGCAGGGAGGAGGAUGUGUGUGCUGUCAGGAGCUGGCACGCGGCUUUCCAUGGGUGGCCUUCGGUUGUUUUGCCUUCUUAUAUUUAGAGUCAAUCAUGCGGCUGCGUGCCAGGCACCCUUCACCGGAAUGAGGAGGAAGAGAGGCACUGAAAUGUAUCUGACAAGGCUGCUAAUGAAGAGAAAAUCAUACCAGAGCCAGGAGGACCUCUCCACCCCCCAGGCACCCCAGGGGAUCACACCCAGCUUCGCUUGUGUCUGCUGCUCAGUCUGGCAGGGAUGAGGUAGAGGUGAAUGAAUAUUUUUUGUGAUGCUCAAACUCCCGGAGAUAAACCUGAAGACGUGGCAGAAAGCUCAGAAGCCAAAGAGGCUUUUGAAGGACUUGUCCUUCAAAGGAUUCACCGGGCUGUGUAAGCCGGGAACCAGUGAUGGUGGGAGAGAUGCUGGUAGCUGCUGUCCCCAGUCUCCUCAUUCUGUGAGCUGCAGAUGCUCCAGCAAGGCUGUGGGGCAAAUAAAUGCUCUACAGGAGCAGCUGAGGAUGGAGGUAGGAGCAGGCAGAGACACAUAAGGUUCAAUCCCUGCUGCAGUUGUGCACUGGGAUGCGAGCAGCUCAGAUCUAAACCCUAGCACAGGGUUGUGGGUGCCUUGUAUUUCCCUCAGGAGCCCCCUAAUUGCUCUGGAGAGCAUCAUGCUGGUGAUGCCAUCACGCACAACUCAUGAAGCUGCCUUUCCUGCAGCACUGGGACCUGCAGAAACCCAACCCUUCCUCCAUGGGCUCAUCUGUCACCCAUCACCACACUGGAAGGAGAAGACCCCUUUUGCCUCAGGGCUCCCAAAAAUGGGAUUGAGGACCCCAGCCCUCCAUGCACCCAGCUGUGCUGCACCGGCAAUGCUCAGCACAGCCCACCCGUUCCGGCAGUGUGGGGUGAGCAUGGACUGGUGUGUCAGGGAAGGAUGAGGAGCAGGAUCCAGCCAGUGCAUUGGCCUCUGGGAAGCUCACCGGGAGCAUGUACUCCGGCUCUCGGAAGAUCUGAUAGGCAUCCUGACACUCCAGCUCCUCUUCCCAGGGCCCUGCACUCCCUCUGCCUUCAUAGAAUCAUACAAUUGUUUGGUUGGAAAAAACUUAGAACUCAUUGAAUUCAACCACACCUGUCCACCACUAAACCCUGAGAACCUCAUCUACCUGUGUUUUAAACACCUUCAGAGAUGAUGAACGAGGGACAGACCACUGCUGAUAGGAGUCUUUGUCCCCAUGAACAGCUGCUGCUUGUCAGGUUGGUGUUAGACUUUGGUGGUGAAUCAGCAACGGGCUUAGCCCAGCGUGGUGCCUGUGAGAGGAUGGAUGGAUGAAGGCUCCACAGGGCAGAGCUGCUUGCAUGGAGAAGCAAAGGGAGACUACGUGGAGAGCGUAAAAGCAAUGGUGUGAGACCACCCUGCCGAGUGCUCACGGGGUGGGACCGAGCUGUAUGGGGCAGAGUCUCCAGGGCUAAAGAUGUGAUCUGGCACAUUAAGAGGUACUGCCCAAACCCUGCAGAUUCCAAAGGUUCCUGCUUUAGGCAAAAGUGUCUUUGACUUUUCGCAGUGCUUCAGUGCCAUUGCUGAGCCAGCUUUGUCCUUGGAGGGUGGGAUCAGUGUGGCAAGAACACCAGCAAAGCCAGGGCACACCACUCGCAGCUGACGCCAACCUGAGGAGCCUCACAACACUCCGUGGGGUUGUUAGCUUUGAUGUGCUCCAUGACUGAAGUGACCACAUUUCCAAGAUGAAGAAAACGAUGAAGCUCACCUUAUGAGGAACAGUUGAAGGACCUCGGGUUGUUUAGCCUGAGGAAGAGGAGGCUGACCUCAUCGCUCCCUCAAACGCCGUGAAAGGCGGUUGUAGAAAGGUGGGUGUUGGUCUCUUCUGUCAAGUAACAAGCAACGGGAUGAGAGGAAAUGGCCUCAAGUUGCACCAGGGGAGGUUUAGAUCGGGUCUUAAGAAAACUUUCUUCACUGAAAGGAUUCUCAGGCACUGGCAGAGGCUUCCCAGGGAGGUUGGUGGAGUCCCCAUACCUAGAGGGGUUUAAAAGGAGAACAGACAAGGUACUCGGGGAUGGUUUAGUAGUGGACAAGUACGGUUGGACUCAAUGAUCUCCAAGGUUUUUUUCCAACCAAACAAUCCUAUGAUUCUAUAAAAGGCAUGCAUUUGCAAAGCAGGAGGGAUCCUCUCAUUGCAAGCACAACCGCAGGCUCCCAGCAGCACUGGACACUCCGUGGACUCAGAUCACUGGUCCAGGUUUUGUGUGCCUGCAAACCCUGUAGCCUUCCCAGCCAACCCCAAGGUCAGGCAGGUGACACAAGCGACCUCAGUGAUGGCUGGGGAGGUGGGAUCCACACUGGACAUUCAUUUCCCAUCUGGACCUGUGAGCUAAGAGGCUUGGAUGCUCGGUACCUCAGAGCUCUCCCCAACUUGGCUAUUUCUUUGUGCCUUAAAGAGCAAUUAAGAAUAAAAGUGGAGCUGCCUCUGCCUGCACAAGGCUCUGUCUGACUCCUGUCUCCUUGCUGCAGUGCUGCUCUGAUUUCCAUCUCAUGCAUAUCUUAUUUAACAUUCUGGAUACUGUUUUGAGUGCCCCAAUAUUUUAAAAUAAAUUGCUGCAUGUAAAAGACUUAAUGUCACAUUCUGUUAUUCUGACUGUUAAAAGAAAAGUGAAAUCUUCAAUGGGGCUAGUGGAGCAGAAGCAAUCACACAGAGGGAGGUCCUAUUAAUGUGUAUUACGUUUCAUUAUUCCAGCACUGCAUGUCAACCAGCUUCUCAUCAGAACUCACGCAACAGAUCACAGUAUUAACUCCUUGCAACCAAACAGGGAGGGGCAGGCUUUUUAAACUCCUUCUGUGUUCCUCGUUCCCUCGGUGUCACCUCUCUGAUGCUGUUCCCAUGUCCUCACAGUGAACAGAUGCACCCUCCAGUGCCUGGAGAGGAGGAGACUGAGGGGAGAACUCUUCACUGGAUGAGGGGCUGGAACACAUCCAGAGGAGGGCAAUGAAGGUGGGAAGGGGCUGGAGAACAAGGGUUAUGCGGAGCGGCUGAGGGACCUGGGCUUGUUUAGCCUGGAGAAAAGGAGGCUGAGGGGAGACCUCAUCACUGUCUUCAACUGCCUGAAAGGAAGUUGUGGAGAGGAGGAUGUUGGUCUCUUCUCCCAAGUAACAAGUGAUGGGACAAGAGAGAAUGGCCUCAAGUUGCACCAGGGGAGGUUCAGGUGGAUAUUAGGAAAAAUUUCUUUACCAAAAGAAUGGUGAAGCCCUGGCAGGUGCUGCCCAGGGCUGUCGUGGACUCUCCAUACCUGGAGUUGUUCAAGAGAUGAGCAGACGAGGCGUUCAGGGAUCUGGUUAGUUGUGGACAG